UAGGCGAACGGGUGAGUAAUACAUCGGAACGUGCCAGUCGUGGGGGAUAACUACUCGAAAGAGUAGCUAAUACCGCAUACGCCCUACGGGGGAAAGCAGGGGACCUUCGGGCCUUGCGCGAUUGGAUGAACCCAGGUGGGAUUAGCUAGUUGGUGAGGUAAUGGCUCACCAAGGCGACGAUCCCUAGCUGGUCUGAGAGGAUGAUCAGCCACACUGGAACUGAGACACGGUCCAGACUCCUACGGGAGGCAGCAGUGGGGAAUAUUGCACAAUGGGGGAAACCCUGAUGCAGCCAUGCCGCGUGUGUGAAGAAGGCCUUCGGGUUGUAAAGCACUUUCAGCGAGGGGGAAAGGUNGGUAGCUAAUAACUGCCAGCUGUGACGUUACUCGCAGAAGAAGCACCGGUUAACUCCGUGCCAGCAGCCGCGGUAACUCACGGAGGGUGCAAGCGUUACUCCGGGAAUUUACUUGGGGCGUUAAAAAGCGCACGCCAAGGGCAGGUCUGGACUAAAGUUCANCGCAUGGUGGAAAAGGCACCCGAGGCUUCAAACACUGGGAAANUGGCACUUUACACACNCCUGGUCCAGACUCUAAAAAAGUC
rnacentral:rRNA from 1 species